GGAGUGGUAGCUCAAAUGGUAGAGCAAUGGACCGCAGUUCCAUAGGUUAUCGGUUCGAGUCCGGUCGACUCCU